CUUGCUGCAGGAAGAUGUCGCAGGAGGUACGAGUGCCCGAGGCUGAUAAGAUAUGGAGUGGGUAGCGGCAGUAUCUGGCGUGUCACUUGUUCCGCUUCAUGAAAAGGUGGGACCAAAGCAGCAGGGAAGAAAAUGUCAGGACGAUGUCAGGUUUAGCUCGCAGUGGAAUGUCAGCACUCUGGAGAACACGCACGUACGUACACACACCCACACACUACACGUCUGACAGACGAGGGGGAUUUAUGUUGCCCCUCGGGAAUGGUCCCGAGUGAUGUGUCUCACAGUCUCUUUAUAAGGUCACGUUUGAAUGUCACUGAUUGACAGUAGCACAAAAUGGACACUCAGUCGCGUGUGUGUGUGUGUGUGUGUUGUGUGU